AGACGUCUACAUUAGAUACCCGGGUAGUCCCAGCCGUAAACGAUGCGCGUUAGGUGUAUCGACGACCACGAGUCGUCGAGGUGCCGAAGGGAAACCGUGAAACGUGCCGCCUGGGAAGUACGGUCGCAAGGCUGAAACUUAAAGGAAUUGGCGGGGGAGCACCACAACAGGUGGAGCCUGUGGUUUAAUUGGACUCAACGCCGGAAAUCUCACCGGAUAAGACAGCAGAAUGAUUGCCGGGCUGAAGACUCUGCAUGACUAGCUG
rnacentral:rRNA from 1 species